GUCUUCGGACACAGUGGCGGACGGGUGAGUAACGCGUGAGAAUCUACCUUCAGGUCGGGGAUAACCCCUGGAAACGGGGGCUAAUACCGGAUAGGUCGAAAGAUGAAAGGUUAACUGCCUGAAGAGGGGCUCGCGUCUGAUUAGCUAGUAGGUGUGGUAAGAGCGCACCUAGGCGACGAUCAGUAGCUGGUCUGAGAGGAUGAGCAGCCACACUGGGACUGAGACACGGCCCAGACUCCUACGGGAGGCAGCAGUGGGGAAUUUUCCGCAAUGGGCGAAAGCCUGACGGAGCAAGACCGCGUGGGGGAGGAAGGCCUUUGGGUUGUAAACCCCUUUUGUUAGGGAAGAAAAAAAUGACGGUACCUAACGAAUCAGCCUCGGCUAACUCCGUGCCAGCAGCCGCGGUAAUACGGAGGAGGCAAGCGUUAUCCGGAAUUAUUGGGCGUAAAGCGUCCGUAGGUGGCCCGGCAAGUCUGCUGUCAAAGACCACAGCUCAACUGUGGAAAGGCAGUGGAAACUGCAAGGCUAGAGUGCGGUAGGGGUAGAGGGAAUUCCCAGUGUAGCGGUGAAAUGCGUAGAGAUUGGGAAGAACACCGGUGGCGAAAGCGCUCUACUGGGCCGCAACUGACACUGAUGGGACGAAAAGCUAGGGGAGCGAAUG
rnacentral:rRNA from 1 species